rnacentral:lncRNA from 1 species
AGCAAUCUACACACAUACACUCACACACCCCGUCCCUUUCCCUCCUCGCAGAAGCCGAGGAGAUGCCAUGUGAGGGUGCAGCGAGGAGUUGGGCUGUCUAAAAGCAAAGAAAGAGAUUGCAUCAGACACCGCAUCUGCUGACACCUUGUUCUUGGACUUCCAGCUUCCAAAACCGCGAGAAAUAAAUGUCUGUGUCUAAACCCCAACCCUACCACCUCAACUGCCGUGUGUGGUGUUUUGUGAUGGCAGCCCCAGCUGACUGAGACACCUGGUUAGACCGGAAUAAGCAGGCUGCAAUCGGUAGCAGUCACCAUUGAACAUCCUUGAAGCAAUUCUUCCAAAAUUACCUUGCAUCAAAGACUGCACAAGAACUGCUCUAAGCGGAAGGACUGAUGUCGGCAACCAGGGUUCCACCAGGGGCUGCAGACAGCCCUUGACCUUCAGGUAGAACUGGAAGAUUUUGCUGAAAGAUUGGACAUGGCAUUCAGAGAAACAGAGGUUUUAAUGACAAACUCCAAGUUUUUGGCUGGAGCAACUGGAAGAAUGAGGUUGCCAUGAACCGAAAAGAGAGAUUGCAGAAGUAACCAAAUUUACUCACGUAGGCCAGGAAUUUCUAUGACGUGUUCCAAAUUCAGCCUCUCACUGAACACUUCCAGAGCAAGGCAACAUAAACAUCUGCAAGAAGAACAUUGUGUGAGAAAUAUCAAGUGAGAGUGGAAGAGUCUGCGGAGGGCCUCCCUGGGGCUCACCUGUGCUUUUGCCUGAGCUUCACCGUGUCAAGGAUGCAGCACUUUUUCCCUCUGGAGGAAGCAGCUUUCACCUUGGAAGAAUCUUGACCUUGCCAUUCAAAGUCACCAGACAGGGAAUCUGCCAGUGCCUUGAUCUUAGACUUCCCAGCUUCUGUAACUGUGAGCAAUAAAUGUAUGCUGCUUAUAAACUA